GGCUCAGGAUGAACGCUAGCUACAGGCUUAACACAUGCAAGGUCGAGGGGAAACGAUAUUGGAAGCUUGCUUCUGAUAGGCGUCGACCGGCGCACGGGUGAGUAACGCGUAUCCAACCUGCCCAUCACUUGGGGAUAACCUUGUGAAAGUAAGACUAAUACCCAAUGACGUCUCUAGAAGACAUCUGAAAGAGAUUAAAGAUUUAUCGGUGAUGGAUGGGGAUGCGUCUGAUUAGCUUGUUGGCGGGGUAACGGCCCACCAAGGCGACGAUCAGUAGGGGUUCUGAGAGGAAGGUCCCCCACAUUGGAACUGAGACACGGUCCAAACUCCUACGGGAGGCAGCAGUGAGGAAUAUUGGUCAAUGGACGAGAGUCUGAACCAGCCAAGUAGCGUGCAGGAUGACGGCCCUAUGGGUUGUAAACUGCUUUUAUAAGGGAAUAAAGUGGGAGUCGUGACUCUUUUUGCAUGUACCUUAUGAAUAAGGACCGGCUAAUUCCGUG
rnacentral:rRNA from 1 species